AACUGAUACUACCUGCGGGAACCUGCGGAGGGAUCACUAACGAGUUUUGAAGUGGGAUUGAUGCUGGCCUUCCGAGGCAUGUGCUCGUCCUCGCUCAUCCACUCACAACACCUGUGCACUGUUGAGGUGUGGCCCCCCUUCAAUGGAGCCGUUCCCCCCUAGGGGGUCGAGCCGGGGUCAGGCCUUCUUCGUCACAAACAACUUGUAAUGUCUAUUCGGAAUGUAAUGCUUCAUGUUAAU
rnacentral:misc_RNA from 1 species